rnacentral:rRNA from 1 species
AGUGAUGCGUGACAACCUGCCCCAUGCUCCAGAAUAGCUCUUGGAAACGGGUGGUAAUGCUGGAUGCUCCAACUUGACGCAUGUCUUGUUGGGAAAGUGUUUAGUGGCAUGGGAUGGGGUCGCGUCCUAUCAGCUUGUAGGCGGGGUAAUGGCCCACCUAGGCUUCGACGGGUAGCCGGCCUGAGAGGGCGGACGGCCACAUUGGGACUGAGAUACGGCCCAGACUCCUACGGGAGGCAGCAGCC